GAUGAACGCUGACAGAAUGCUUAACACAUCAGCAAUUGUUUGGUGGCGGACGGGUGAGUAACGAGUAAAGAACUUGCCUCACAGGUAGGGACAACAUUUGGAAACGAAUGCUAAUACCUAAGACUGUGGGAGAGCUUGGCGUCCCAUUAGCUAGUGGGAGAGGUAACGGCUCACCAAGGCGAUGAUGGGUAGCCGGCCUGAGAGGGUGAUCGGCCACAAGGGGACCGAGACACGGCCCUUACUCCUACGGGGGGCAGCAGUGGGGAAGAGUGGACAAUGGACAAAAGUCUGAUCCAGCAAUUCGGUGUGCACGAUGAAGUUUUCGGAAUGUAAAGUGCUUUCAGUUGGGAAGCGGUACCAACAGAAGAAGUGACGGCUAAAUACGUGCCAGCCGCCGCGGUAAUUC
rnacentral:rRNA from 1 species